rnacentral:rRNA from 1 species
GGUUGACCUCGGAUCAGGUAGGAAUACCCGCUGAACUUAAGCAUAUCAAAAGCCGGAGGA